UCACUGAAAUGAAAGUCACUAAAAGCACAAUUCGAAGUCUUGUGGUCUACUAAAAUGAAAGUCACUAAAAUCAUCGUCCAAGUCUUGCAGUCUCACCAUCUGAAAAUUAGCUCUUGAACCCAAGUCUCGUGGUCUCACCAUCCGAAUAUUAGCUCUGGAAUUGUAAGUUAUGCCUCACGCCCCAUUCUACACUCAUUGAACCCUAAGUUGAGCUUCACGCCUCUUUUCCAAAAGGAGUGACUCGUGAAACCCUAAAGCAAGAUGAUUUGAAACCCUACACUAACAAUCUUCGUCACUCUUCCCAACAACAUUCAUCACUUCAAUUGUUCCUAAUUGAGGCUCAAACUCUUUUCCUUGAACAAAACCCUAUUAUUUUCCCAAAACUCCACGUUCGACAGAAAAGGUAGGGUCCAUGGACUAAGGAGGAGAUUAUGUUUUAUAGUCUCAGGUACUUCCAUUGAUGAAGGAUGAGUCAAUGGGGGAGUCUUCCUUUGUCCAAGGAUCUUGGCACACCAAGAGUUUUUAGUCUUCAAGGAUGGAAUGGAUGGUCAAGGUGAGAAGGUAGGAGGCCAUGAGGGUGGAUGCUCUCAUGGAAGGUUGGCACACUUCAAGAUGAAGGUGGAGGCCACUCUAGGGUUUCCACUCUCCAAGGGUGAAGAUAGGAGUAGGUUAUCCGAAUUUAACCUAGGGACUAAGGAUAAGAUUUUGAGGCAUGAAAUGUUCACUCAAUAUCAUAAUAAUCCAAAGUAUUUACAAUGUGGAUGGUCUAGGGUAUUUAUAGGGGAAGGAAGGGAAUUUAAGGUUGCAAGAAGGUGCAUGGCCGAGAAAUGCAAGCAACAUGCACUCCAAAUGCAACCUAAAUUAACCCUAAAUGUGGUGUGGUUGUCCUUCCCUCCUAAAGACUAAAAUAAAAUACCCUUUGACCUAAAAAUAGAAAGAAAAAAAAAAGGUGGACUUUGACCUUACAAAUCAAGGCUUAAGCCCAAAAUAAAUCCUAAGCUAAUUUGCCCCAAAAUACAAAGGCUAAAUGAAAAUACAAAAUAAAAUCCUAUCAUCUAAAGUACCCCAAAAUAUAAGGGUAAAAUGGGAACAAAAACAAUAAAAUCCUAUACUACUCAAAAUAGGCCUAGGAGAGGGUCAAUACUCCACACUCAUGAUGAGUAUAGCUCUAGGCAUGGUGACUCCUCCAUCUUCAUCCAUUCUCCUAGCCAUGGACCUAGUAAUGGGCCCCACAUGAAGUUCCAAGAGUGGUCCUCCAUCAGGUUCAAUCUCACAAAUAGGAAAAUGAUAAUGAGGAUAAAAAGGUGCAAUAUAUUCUAUAUUUUUUGUUUAUGAGUAUGUUUGUUCUAAGAAGCUAUGGAAAGUAUGUUUUAUCUAAUUAUUUUUAUUAUUUGAGUUUCUAUGGAUGAACUCUGUAUAUUUUGGGUUGUCUAAUCUAUGAACAAUAUGUGUUUUGUGGAAAUUCUACCACCAAUAUUAUAUGUAAAUAUUUGGCUACAUGGCUUUGUUAAUAUCUUGCAUGUAAAAAUCUAUAUGAAUUAAGAAGACUAAACAAUUUUAAAAUA